CAUCUUAUUAAUAUUAAAGCUUCGGCACUUGAUGAUGGGUGUGCGGCUGAUUAGAUAGUUGGCGGGGUAACGGCCCACCAAGUCUACGAUCAGUAGCUGAUGUGAGAGCAUGAUCAGCCACACGGGCACUGAGACACGGGCCCGACUCCUACGGGAGGCAGCAGUAAGGAAUAUUGGACAAUGGACGAAAGUCUGAUCCAGCCAUGCCGCGUGAAGGAUUAAGGUCCUCUGGAUUGUAAACUUCUUUUAUAUGGGACGAAAAAAGGGCAUUCUUGUUCACUUGACGGUACCAUAUGAAUAAGCACCGGCUAACUCCGUG
rnacentral:rRNA from 1 species